UACGUAGGGGGCGAGCGUUGUCCGGAAUCAUUGGGCGUAAGGAGCGUGUAGGCGGCUUGGCAAGUCUGACGUGAAAGCCCGCGGCUCAACCGCGGAUUGUCGUUGGAAACUGCCUCGCUAGAGUCCGGAAGAGGAGAGCGGAAUUCCUGGUGUAGCGGUGGAAUGCGCAGAUAUCAGGAAGAACCACCCGUGGCGAAGGCGGCUCUCUGGGACGGUACUGACGCUGAGACGCGAAAGCGUGGGGAGCGAACAGG
rnacentral:rRNA from 1 species